rnacentral:lncRNA from 1 species
GGAUGCUGUGCAUAGUGGCAUCUGGCAUUACUUUCAGACACGUUCUUAUCCAGUCAAGUUCCCACAAGAUUUAUGAGGAUAGACAUGUUCGGAUCAGAUUCGCCAAGCUUGCAUUUCCUGUCUGUGCCUCAGACUGAAACUACCACUUGUGCAUAAAUACUUGAAUAACAGAAGUAGAAAAGUGUUAUUAUUCACAAAAACAUUCUUGAGUUAUAUGGAUAGCCUAUUUUGAGGCCUAGACAACACAAGUUUGCAGAUGAUGUUUCUCAGAAGGGUUCGCUCACUCGGCACUAUUACAUCCCCAAUCCAGGCCUAAUUCAUUCUCUGUGUGUGCCACCACAUGUCUUGUCAAAUUUAUGCCCGUUUAAUUAUGUUGGGACACUUCCGUUUUUGGCAUCUGAAGCAACUGGUCCUUGGUUAUCUAGAAGGUCAAAUGAAGGGGAGGGUCAAGGUUACACCACUUCAGUUUCAUCCUCACAACAAAGACUUAUUGGCAUGGCUGAUUUUGAACAGUACAGAACAACCUCUCAGGGUGUGCUUGUCUCAGCGCAUGGAAAUGUAUUAUCAUAUCCACAGAGUCACAUGACCACAUCUGCUGCCACCUCUUCUGCUGUAUCAUAUCAGGUUCAAGGCCCCCCUGUUUUCAACGUUAGCUACCAGUCCAGAUGCAGACCUUACCCUGUGCCAAUGUGGGUGCAUGGCCGAAAAAUGCCACAAACCUCAGUAUUUGUACCAAAUGAGCAUGCUGGUAUUACAACUACUGGAUCAACUGAGUUUAAAUCAAAUUCUAAUGAGGGUCAAAACAUACUGUGUCGGGAUCUCUAGAGAUGUCUGUUCAGGAGCAACAACAAAUUCAGCUGUAAUGAUGUGCAUUAUGGUAUAUCUAAAGUCUAUGGUAUGUAUCAACUGAAGAUCUGGAUUUAAAAUUAAUAUAUUUAUUCUUUAGUCUUUAUCUGCUGUGUAAAAGUGUGAAAAAUGUGUUAAAUAGCUACAUGAAGUUGCAGAGCAACCAUUAAAUAAAUUUCAUACCAUUUUUCUGUGUUUUUCUCCUUUUUAUUUUAACCAUUGAAUGUAGUCAUAUGACUACUAUACAUCUCACUUAAGCAUAUUUUAGGCUAUAAGCAAUAUCUAACAGUCCUAUCAUAUCGUUUCAGUCUACUUCUCAUGGUCUAUUUUUCCUGACGAUUAAUUAAAAGUUAAGCCUAGACUUUUUUUCAAACCAAAAAAAGUUUAUAAUAAAUAAUAUAUAUUUUACAUUAAGUAGCCUACCUGUAUUUGACGUUUAAGAACAUUUACAAACUUCUAACUUUUUUCAUGCGGGCAAAAUGAUCAUUUCACCACAAGAGGUCACCCAUGACCGUGUGAUGGAACCAGAUCUGCUGGGCUAAAAAGGUUUACUCAGGGUAGGGGGCUUAAAAGUAUUUAAAAAUUGCCACACA